AGUGGACACUGGCGGUAGGCCUAACACAUGCAAGUCGAACGGCAGCACAGUAAGAGCUUGCUCUUACGGGUGGCGAGUGGCGGACGGGUGAGGAAUACAUCGGAAUCUACUUUUUCGUGAGGGAUAACGUAGGGAAACUUACGCUAAUACCGCAUACGACCUACGGGUGAAAGCAGGGGAUCUUCGGACCUUGCGCGAUUGAAUGAGCCGAUGUCGGAUUAGCUAGUUGGCGGGGUAAAGGCCCACCAAGGCGACGAUCCGUAGCUGGUCUGAGAGGAUGAUCAGCCACACUGGAACUGAGACACGGUCCAGACUCCUACGGGAGGCAGCAGUGGGGAAUAUUGGACAAUGGGCGCAAGCCUGAUCCAGCCAUACCGCGUGGGUGAAGAAGGCCUUCGGGUUGUAAAGCCCUUUUGUUGGGAAAGAAAAGCAGCAGGUUAAUACCCCGCUGUUCUGACGGUACCCAAAGAAUAAGCACCGGCUAACUUCGUG
rnacentral:rRNA from 1 species